GGAAGGGGAACAGAAGGGUUGACGGGUCGGAGGGAGAGGUUCGCCGGGAUUUAGGGGAGUGGGGAGAGGAUUUUCGGCAGUGAGGAAUGGGUUUAGGGAGAGAGUAAGGGAGAAGUAUGGGGGAUGUCUUUUCACCCCUUCACUCACCACGAACCCACCUUUCCUCUCUCUCUCUCUCUCCCCCCCCCCCUCGACAAAGAGUAAGGGAGGUAUGGAGGUAUGGGUUUGGGGAGAAAGAGUAAGGGAGCAGCUUCCGAUCGCUUCCCUCUCUCCCUUAGAAACAAUCAGUUUAUAAUCCCAUUUAGCAGAGUCAUGUCGCUUCCAAAUGAAGAAAAUGAUAAGUCCUCUUCUUCUGAUGCUCAGGGGAUGGACAGAAGUCCCAGGCAGCAAUCUCUCUGUAAUGAUCGCCGGUAAAAUAUUGUGGUCAUUUUGAGCUUGGAUUCAGCCAGUAUGCGAUCUGUGCAAUUCUCAAGGACCUGCAUCAGGUCCUCUCCCUGAUCCUCCUAAUGAUUACAGCAUAUAUUACUCAAUGAAUCAAGCAAGAUCCAUAAGGUUCACGUACAAAUGUGACUAGCGGGUCAAGUUCCAUAAGGAGGUGGAAGCAGAAGAAGAAUUGGCGUCACCUUUCAGUUUUUCAACCAAAAGGAGGUAACCUUUAUAAAUGAUUUAUACAAGCUUCUCUGUUUUGUAUCUCUGAAAUUUGAGUUCUUUGACUAAAACUGUGAAUAGUGAUUGGUAAAUAUUUCGCAUUUUUUUUCUAUGGGCCAUUUGUGUUCUAUUUGGGUUGUAUUUUGAGUCGUGUAAUUCAAGUUGUAUUUUGACCCCAAUAUCCAAUUUAAUUAAUUCAAUUUUGAUAAGUGAGUUAAGAGUUUUUCUAUGACUGUAUUACUUUGUUUGAUAAAUGAAUGACGAAUUGGAAAUAGUUUCUUACUUAUGUUUUUCUUAGGUGUGUACUAAAUUGGAUGUUGGUUUGGUUCUUUCCGAACUUUUCACAUGACUUUCAUUACCCAAUAGAGAAUAUGAAAACCCUAACCUUAAUUUUGUAAGUUGAUUUUGGUACCUGCAAAUGAGAAAAGGGUAAAGUUUCUUAUCCCUUUAGUAUUUGAUCCUGAAAUUAAUUUAUCUGUGAGUCCUGGAUCUCUGUACUUUUUGGGUAAAUUAAAAUUCAACGACUCUCUCUUUUCGAAUGCCUUUUUAUUUUUUAUUACUGCAUUAAUGUUUUCUGCUGUUGUUUAUAUAAUUCUAAGAGGAGACAGAUUAAUGGCGUGACUGAAAAAAAAACAAGAGGGAAGGAUGAGGAAUGCACGGGUUGGCCUAUUUUGGCCCAAUUUUUUUUUCAAUUGGUUUGGGAUUUUGUUUAUGUUUGGGGUUUUUUUGCCCUAAUUAAUAUUGUUUUGAAUUCAUAUAGAAUUUUGUUUAUGUUUGGGGUUGUCAUGUUCGAGUAUUUAAUUUGGUAUUUGGUAGUUUACAUUACAGUAGUUGUCGGUUUUCUCAAAGGAUAAAUCCAAUCUAUAAUGCCUUUUCUGAUAUAUGUGCAAAUGUUAACACUUUGUAGAUUUUCAGUUUUUAAACAAUAAGAAAAUGUAACCGUUCAGACUCUAGAGUAAUUUGUCAUCAAGGUAAAUGAUUUUUGUUUUUUGCUUUGUGCCUGUUGUGAUUAAAGAAAGUUUAGUAAUUUGUUUAUUCACUUAUUAAUUAAUUGGUGAGAGGAUGAAACAUUUCACUGUUGGUUACUACCUAGUUUGAAUGCAUCAGUAAACAUUGUUUGUUUCACCACCAA